rnacentral:rRNA from 1 species
GAUGAACGCUAGCGAUAGGCCUAACACAUGCAAGUCGAGGGGCAUCACAUGAAGUAGCAAUACGGAUGGUGGCGACCGGCGCACGGGUGAGUAACACGUAUGCAACCUGCCUUCAACAAGGGGAUAACCCGUUGAAAGACGGACUAAUACCCUAUAACACAGGGGUCCCGCAUGGGGAUAUUUGUUAAAGGACAACCGGUUGAAGAUGGGCAUGCGUUCCAUUAGCUAGUUGGCGGGUAAGGCCCACAAGGCAACGAUGGAUAGGGGAACUGAGAGGUUUAUCCCCCACACUGGUACUGAGACACGGACCAGACUCCUACGGGAGGCAGCAGUGAGGAAUAUUGGUCAAUGGACGCAAGUCUGAACCAGCCACGUCGCGUGAAGGAAGACGGCCCUACGGGUUGUAAACUUCUUUUGCAAGGGAAUAAAGUGGGCCACGUGUGGCCUUUUGCAAGUACCUUGCGAAUAAGGAUCGGCUAACU